AAAAGUAAAGGGGUCUGAAUACUUUCCGAAUGCACUUUAGAUUGUAAUAUGGCUUUUUUUUCUGGCUUUCCCAUUGAUUUUACCCACACACAGUUACUGAUUGUGUUAGCUGUGUAGUUGUUUAUCUUUUCUGAGCAGUGGCCUGACAAGAGAGCAAAUGUUCUAUACAUGGUGAAAUCACACAUUAUUAGCUCAUUGUUAUGGAUGUAUCCCCCAAAAGAAUCACUAGAAAACAGGUUAAACAAGCGCAGAUGCAGCUAAUUUGCUGUUAUUCUGUCUGCACUGUUUCACGUGACUGUGUUAACCAAAAUUGCCUGGCUAGCUAGCAAGCAAGGGAUACGAACAUUGCCAGCCAUCAUGGCUUAAUGGCCAGCCAUCAACACUUCAAAUGAACGACUGGGUCCAUAGAUUUAGGGUGCGUUCAUAAAUUCACUCUGGCUAUCUCUUCCGUCUGAGAGUGCCAGAUUGCAGAAUAAAAGCAAAUUUAUGCUUGAACCGAAAAUGUGGUCGGAGGCUCCGUAUGGAGGGUGUGACGCAAUUGUGGAGCCUCUGGAGGCACGCAGAGGGCAAAUUGAGCUCCGUACCGCAUCACCGUGUCCUCCAAAAAUGUUUUAAUAAUGCAGAGGGCUCCAGUAUAUCGCCCCAUUGACAUGAUUGGUUGAUGGUAGGUGGAGGCGGGAGGUCCUGUAUAAACACAAACUCAGUUCCUUGACAACAGCUCUGCUGUUUAAAAUCCCAAAAUAAUGUUUGCUCUGACUUCUGCAUAGGCAACAUGCACUAAAUACGGUAUGGCUACUGCAGUUUUCGGAUUGACAAUGUAGGGCCUUUAAUUGAUGAAUUUACGAACAUGCUACAUAUGACCGGUGUCAGUAAACGCUGGCAAAAAAAAAAACAUAAUUAAAUUGUUGCCAGUAGCAUAGUUACAGUCACCAAUGCUCUAGAUAGAUUGAAAACAGCCUAACCAGCUCUGCUAGGAAGAGAAAAAUGGUCAGAGUGAGGUGUUCUCUCAUUUGUGUCUUGAAAUAGCUAGCCAACGUUAGCCAGUUAGCUUGGGUGCUUGACUGUGGUUGAGGUCAGAACGCUGGGAUCAACCCUACUCGGCCAGAGCGUCCACAUCCAGUGUGCGCUCUGAAUGUAAGAAGGGACAAUCUGAAAACUCUCUGAAUUUACGAAUGCCUAGAGCGCACCCUGAGCACUCUCUGGCACUCCAGAGGGAAUUUACGAACGCACCCUUAGAACAAAAAUAUUGAACGACUGGGUCGCAUCUCUGGCAUCGUUGGGACUAUAUCUCUCUACUUCUCUAUAGGGUCAUACAUGGGAAUUGUUUUACACAGCCGUAAUUCAGUUAACCUGCAGUACCGAAGCAAUACUGUAGGCGCAGUCAAAAGCGCGCUUUCAGACGCGAACCCUGGCCCUUUGGCAGCAAUAGAUCGACGGGAGGGAGACACCGGCUUACGACGUCAAAUGCAACUAAGUAGACAGACAGAGAGACAGCCAAUGCGCGAGCGAGCGGCAGCAAUAGCCUCCCAUUUCCUGUGUUGGAUCAUAGGGAGUCUAUUCUUAUAACCACCAACCGCUUGAAUAAUCCCAGAGGUUGUCGUUAUUAUAUAAAAUCCUAAUUUGUGUGUAUUUAAUGUGGUAAACAGGAUUUGUACACAAAUAACACCCACAAAAAACUACUGGGUAAAGCAUCACAUGCUCAUGUUUAUAGAUGAAGAAGGACGUCGCUCGAUUUGUUACGUGCGCUCUUUUGGGGGUAACUUGUCAAGGCACGGAUUCAGAGGGGUCCUACAUUAGACAAAUGAAUUGAACUGGAGAAUAGACACAAACCGAAAAGAAACCCGAUUUGAUAGGGAACAGAGGAAAAAAGGGGGGAUUCAGCUAGCAACGAACCUUAAGAAGAAGGAGGAUCAUAGAGAAAUAGACUGAGUUGAAGCAUUUGCCCGUCAUCUCUAACUCGUCCAAAGAGCUAUAGGCUCUUCCUGCUCCCUGCUCUCACCACCUUUUCAGUGUCCAUCCUCGGUGCGCAACGGGUUGCUCCAAUCCCACACCGUCUCAAUGAAGGAGGCCGAUGCAAUCAAGCUCUUCAUCGGGCAGAUACCCCGAAAUCUUGAGGAGAAGGACUUGAAACCCAUCUUUGAACAGUUCGGGAAGAUCUAUGAGUUGACGGUGAUAAAGGACAAAUACACAGGGAUGCACAAAGGCUGUGCCUUCCUGACAUACUGCGAACGAGAGUCUGCACUCAAAGCCCAGAAUGCACUGCACGAGCAGAAGACGCUACCAGGGAUGAACCGGCCCAUUCAAGUGAAGCCAGCAGACAGCGAGGGCAGAGGGGAAGACCGGAAGCUGUUUGCUGGCAUGCUGGGGAAGCAGCAGUCGGAUGCUGACGUGAGGAAGAUGUUUGAGGCGUUUGGGAGCAUUGAAGAGUGCACAGUGCUCCGCGGGCCUGACGGCACUAGCAAAGGCUGUGCCUUUGUGAAGUACCAGAACAACGUAGAGGCUGCGGCAGCCAUCAGCACUCUGCAUGGGAGCCGCACUCUACCGGGUGCCUCCUCCAGCCUGGUGGUGAAGUUCGCCGACUCUGAGAAAGAGCGAGGGAUAAGGCGCAUGCAGCAGGUGGCGUCCCAGCUGGGGGUCAUCAGUCCCAUGACCUUACACCUCGGGGCUUACAAUGCCUACACACAGGUACUGGUGCAGCAGCAGGCUCUGGUGGCCCAGUCGGCGUAUUUGUCUCCUGUAUCCACCAUCACCAUGCAGCAGUUGGCUGCCCUCAACUCCAGCAGCCUCAUUGCCACGCCCCUCGCAUCACUUACUACCUCAGGUACCAGCACUCCGCCCACCAUGGCAGCCACACCGGUGCCUGCUCUGCCUCCACCACUCAGCUACCCUCCAGUGCCAGCUCCACCCAAUGGACAGUCAGCAUCUGAAACCCUGUACACCAAUGGCGUUCAUUCUUACCAAGCUCAGAGUCCAGUUUUGGAUCCUAUUCAGCAAGCAUACGCAGGGAUGCAGCACUACACAGGUGGGACAGUAGUGAGUCCGUUUGAGUCCUUAAAAUUUCCCAGAGGAAAUUUUAGGUUUGAAAUGCCCUCUCAACAGUCCUUAAUGUUUCCGUAUGCGAACACACCCACAGCAACCUACCCUGCUGCCUAUGGAAUGGUGGGGCAGCCAUUCCCACACCAACACACAAUGCUUGCACAGCAACAUCAGCAGCCUCAGCAACUGCAGCAACGAGAAGGGCCUGAGGGGUGUAACAUCUUCAUCUAUCACCUGCCUCAGGAGUUCUCUGACUCAGAGAUGCUGCAAAUGUUCGUCCCCUUCGGCAACGUCAUCUCAGCAAAGGUCUUUGUUGACCGCGCCACCAAUCAGAGCAAGUGCUUUGGUUUUGUGAGUUUUGACAACCCGUCCAGUGCUCAGACCGCAAUUCAGGCCAUGAAUGGUUUCCAGAUUGGCAUGAAGAGACUCAAGGUGCAGCUUAAGAGGCCCAAGGAUGCCAACCGACCCUACUAAAUGAGUCAAGACUGUCCUGUCCAUACAUAUAUCGUGGAGACUACGUGGCUAUGGUUGCCUAGCAACCGCUAAAACCCCCUUCCUCUCACAGCGUUGGAAGAUAUGAGUUCUAUCAAGAAACUACUUCCAGCAUUUUGGUUUCGACCAAACCGUAUAACAAAGGAGCAACAACACUUCUCGAAAAAUAAGAUAAAAUAUACAGUGGGCUCCAAAAUUACUGGCACCCCUGACUGGCAAUGCACAAACAAUGCUUAAACAAAUAUAAACAAUAUAAUUAUAGAGAAACUCAAAAUACCAACAUGAGAAAUACUGUACUUUAUUAAUGUUUCAAUGGAACCAACCAAAAUAAUUGAUUGAUUUAAUUAAAAAUCAAUGUCCUCCAAAUCAAGGUUUCACAAUUAAUGGCACCCUUAAAGGUUAUUGUAAAUAACAUCUACCAAAAUUAAACCACAAAUUAAAUUCCACUUAUUUAAGUUUAUCUAAGUCUUAAGGAAAUAUAUUGAGCCAUUACAUCACUUCCUGUUUCACUAGGGUAUAAAAAUGAGGUAACACGCAUGCAAUAUCCCGCUGUCAUCCAACACCAUGAAGAAAACAAAAGACCUGGCAGUUCAAAAGAGACAGAUGGUCAUAGACCUUCAUAAAUCUGGUAAUGGCUACAAGAAGAUCCACAAACGAUUGAAUAUACCACUGAGCACUGUCAGGGCAAUUAUUAGAAAAUUCGAAAGACAUGGAACAGUUGAAAACCUCACGGAUAGAGGACACAAAUGCAUUUCGCCCCCCAGGAUAGGGAGGAGGAUGGUGAGAGAAGCAACAAAAUCCCCAAGAGUCACUGUGAAAGAAUUGCAGGCCUUGGUGGCGUCUUUGGGUCAUCAGGUUUCAAAAAGCACCAUCAGAUGCCACCUCCACAUCCACAGGCUCUUUGGAAGGGUUCCCAGAAGAAAGCCCUUUCUGACCCCAAGACACAGAUGCAAGCGCUUGGAGUUUACCAAACGUCAUUUAAAUUAUGACUGGAAGAAGGUGCUCUGGUCAGAUGAGACCAAAAUUGAAUGUUUUGGUCAGAUACAGCAUCGGCAUGUUUGGCGUCGAAACAGAGAUGCAUACAAGGAGAGGCACCUCAUACCCACUGUGAAAUAUGGAGGGGGGGGUCAUUGAUGUUUUGGGGCUGUUUUAAUUCCAGAGGUCCAGGGGCACUGGUUAAGAUUGAUGGCAUAAUGAAUUCCACCAAGUAUCAGGCAAUUUUGGCUGACAAUCAGGUUGCCUCUGCCAGAAGGCUGGGACUUGGCCGUAGGUGGACUUUCCAACAAGACAAUGACCCGAAACAUACCUUAAGGUCCACACAGAAAUGGUUCUGUGACAACAAAAUCAAUGUUCUGUCAUGGCCAUCUCAGCCACCGGACCUCAAUCCAAUCGAAAACCUGUGGGCUGAGUGGAAGAGGGCAGUUGAUAAGCGCAAACCCAAGAAUGUGAAGGAUCUUGAAAGGAUCUGCAUAGAAGAAUGGUCCAAAAUCCUUCCAAAUGUGUUCCUUAACCUUGUCAGGAAAAGACUCCAUGCUGUUAUCCUUGCCAGAGGUGGUUGCACUAAGUAGUAAAUGAGGAGUGCCAAUAAUUAUGAAACCUUGAUUUUGGUUAAAUUUAUUUUGUAUUAAAUAAUUGAAUGAUUUUGGUUGGUUCCAUUGAAACAUUAAUUAAGUACAGUAUUUCUCACAUGUUGGUAUUUUGAGUUUCUCUAUAAUUAUAUUGUUAAUAUUUUUUUAAGUAUUGUUUGUGCAUUGCCAGUCAGGGGUGCCAGUAAUUUUGGAGCCCACUGUAUGCAUCUUCUAAAAAUCAGCAACAACAGAAUAAAACAAAUGUGGUGGGUGGUUCGGAGUACAUAUACCAUUCCACAGCUGGAUUCAGUCAUUAUGUACAGUACCAGUCAAAAGUUUGGACACACCUACUCAUUCAAGGUGUUUCUUUAUUCUUGCCAUUUUCUACAUUGUAGAAUAUUAGUGAAGACAUCAAAACUAUGAAAUAACACACAUGAAAUCAUGUAGUAACCAAAAAAGUGUUUUAUACUUGAGAUUUUUCAAAGUAGCCACCCUUUACCUUGAUGACAGCUUUGCACACUCUUGGCAUUCUCUCAACCAGCUUCAUGAGGUAGUCACCUGAAAUGCAUUUCAAUUAACAGGUGUAUCUUGUUAAAAGUUAAUUUGUGGAAUUUCUUUCCUUCUUAAUGCGUUUGAGCCAAUCAGUUGUGUUGUGACAAGGUAGGGGUGGUAUUCAGAAGAUAGCCCUAUUUGGUAAAAUACCAAGUCCAUAUUAUGGCAAGAACAGUUCAAAUAAGCGGAGAGAAAUUACAGUCCAUCAUUACUUUAAGACAUGAAGGUCAGUCAAUCUGGAAAAUGGCAAGAACUUUGAACGUUUCUUCAAGUGCAGUCGCAAAAACCAUCAAACGCUAUGAUGAAACUGGUUCUCAUGAGGACUACCACAUGAAAGGAAGACCCGGAGUUACCUCAGCUGCAUAGGAUAAGUUCAUUAGAGUUAACUGCACCUCAGAUUGCAGCCCAAAUAAAUGCUUCACAGAGUUCAAGUAACGGACACAUCUCAACAUCAACUGUUCAGAGGGGACUGCAUGAGUCAGGCCUUCAUGAUCUAAUUGAUGGUUUGGGAUGAAUUGGACUGCAAAGUGAAGGAAAAGCACCCAACAAGUGCUCAGCAUAUGUGGGAACUCCUUCAAGACUGUUGGAAAAGCAUUCCAGGCGAAGCUGGUUGAGAGAAUGCCAAGAAUGUGCAAAGCUGUCAUCAAGGAAAAUGGUGGCUACUUUAAGGAAUCGAAAUUCUAAAAUAUAAUUUUGAUUUGAUAAACACUUUCUGGUUACUACAUGAUUCCAUGUGUUAUUUCUUAGUUUUGAUGUCUUCACUAUUAUUCUACAAUGUAGAAAAUAGAAAAAUUAAGAAAAACCCUUGAAUGUGUAGGUGUCCAAACUUUUGACUGGUACUGUACAAACUGUACUGUCAGCUACAAGGUCUACAUGAAAAAGUAUAUCACUUAUUCUUAUGAACAGGGUUUCACUGUAUAGUGUGGUUUGUGGUCCAUAACUUAAGAGGGAAGGGCAAUGUAUGGGGAUGGAGAAGUAGGAUGGUAACAUUAUUGGGGGAAAAAUGCUAUUCUGUAUGAUUACCAUUGGUCGAAUUGGUAUGUAGAUUUAGUUUAUUAUUUGAAAUUAAAGACGAGGAGUAAUUAAGCAAGAAGAACAAUCAACUUCUUCUCACUGUACAUAUCUUUGUUUUAAAUGGAGUCAAAUAAUGAAAACAUGUGUAAGUUAUUACAACCACUACUAUUGUUAUUGGCAUAGGGGUGUGAGGGAUGGGAAUUGGGUGGAAUUUUUGUAUCUUAAUUUUUUACUUUUAAUGUAUUUGUUAUGCAAUUGAAGGGGGAGAUAUGGCUAUUUUUUAUUUUAGAAAAUAGAAUAUUCCUGUGGUCUACAGUACAAGACUAUGGAUACACGUAUUGUAGAAUUUGUAAUUACAUAAAUGUAAUUAUCAAAAUCAUAAUUGUUUCAUUAUUUAUUCUCUACAAUUGCUGUUUUAAAACAUAUGUCUAAGAAAAAUAAAGUACAAUUUCGAAAA